rnacentral:rRNA from 1 species
GACGAACGCUGGCGGCGCGCCUAACACAUGCAAGUCGAACGAGCGAGAGAGAGCUUGCUUUCUCGAGCGAGUGGCGAACGGGUGAGUAACGCGUGAGGAACCUGCCUCAAAGAGGGGGACAACAGUUGGAAACGACUGCUAAUACCGCAUAAGCCCACGACCCGGCAUCGGGUUGAGGGAAAAGGAGCAAUCCACUUUGAGAUGGCCUCGCGUCCGAUUAGCUAGUUGGUGAGGUAACGGCCCACCAAGGCAACGAUCGGUAGCCGGACUGAGAGGUUGAACGGCCACAUUGGGACUGAGACACGGCCCAGACUCCUACGGGAGGCAGCAGUGGGGAAUAUUGCACAAUGGGGGAAACCCUGAUGCAGCGACGCCGCGUGGAGGAAGAAGGUCUUCGGAUUGUAAACUCCUGUUGUUGAGGAAGAUAAUGACGGUACUCAACAAGGAAGUGACGGCUAACUACGUG